ACGCUGGCGGCGUGCCUAAUACAUGCAAGUCGAACGAACUCUGGUAUUGAUUGGUGCUUGCAUCAUGAUUUACAUUUGAGUGAGUGGCGAACUGGUGAGUAACACGUGGGAAACCUGCCCAGAAGCGGGGGAUAACACCUGGAAACAGAUGCUAAUACCGCAUAACAACUUGGACCGCAUGGUCCGAGUUUGAAAGAUGGCUUCGGCUAUCACUUUUGGAUGGUCCCGCGGCGUAUUAGCUAGAUGGUGAGGUAACGGCUCACCAUGGCAAUGAUACGUAGCCGACCUGAGAGGGUAAUCGGCCACAUUGGGACUGAGACACGGCCCAAACUCCUACGGGAGGCAGCAGUAGGGAAUCUUCCACAAUGGACGAAAGUCUGAUGGAGCAACGCCGCGUGAGUGAAGAAGGGUUUCGGCUCGUAAAACUCUGUUGUUAAAGAAGAACAUAUCUGAGAGUAACUGUUCAGGUAUUGACGGUAUUUAACCAGAAAGCCACGGCUAACUACGUGCCAGCAGCCGCGGUAAUACGUAGGUGGCAAGCGUUGUCCGGAUUUAUUGGGCGUAAAGCGAGCGCAGGCGGUUUUUUAAGUCUGAUGUGAAAGCCUUCGGCUCAACCGAAGAAGUGCAUCGGAAACUGGGAAACUUGAUUGCUAAGAGGACAGUGGAACUCCAUGUGUAGCGGUGAAAUGCGUAGAUAUAUGGAAGAACACCAGUGGCGAAGGCGGCUGUCUGGUCUGUAACUGACGCUGAGGCUCGAAAGUAUGGGUAGCAAACAGGAUUAGAUACCCUGGUAGUCCAUACCGUAAACGAUGAAUGCUAAGUGUUGGAGGGUUUCCGCCCUUCAGUGCUGCAGCUAACGCAUUAAGCAUUCCGCCUGGGGAGUACGGCCGCAAGGCUGAAACUCAAAGGAAUUGACGGGGGCCCGCACAAGCGGUGGAGCAUGUGGUUUAAUUCGAAGCUACGCGAAGAACCUUACCAGGUCUUGACAUACUAUGCAAAUCUAAGAGAUUAGACGUUCCCUUCGGGGACAUGGAUACAGGUGGUGCAUGGUUGUCGUCAGCUCGUGUCGUGAGAUGUUGGGUUAAGUCCCGCAACGAGCGCAACCCUUAUUAUCAGUUGCCAGCAUUAAGUUGGGCACUCUGGUGAGACUGCCGGUGACAAACCGGAGGAAGGUGGGGAUGACGUCAAAUCAUCAUGCCCCUUAUGACCUGGGCUACACACGUGCUACAAUGGAUGGUACAACGAGUUGCGAACUCGCGAGAGUAAGCUAAUCUCUUAAAGCCAUUCUCAGUUCGGAUUGUAGGCUGCAACUCGCCUACAUGAAGUCGGAAUCGCUAGUAAUCGCGGAUCAGCAUGCCGC
rnacentral:rRNA from 2 species